UGGAACGGGUUAGAAAGCAGUGCCUGAGUGUCUCCCUAACUCUGUACAGCCAGCUGCUCCACUGAUACUGCACCCACACUGCUGAGCGCAUUUCAGAUCAAGAAGCAAUGAAAGCAGGCUCUUGCUGCAGCCUGUACUUGUGCACUGGGCCCUGGCCUUUAGGAGCCUGAGCCUGUUACCUUUGAGCCAAGCAGAGGCGGCCAUAACACAGUCCCAGAAGGAGUGAGCAGCCUUUCUGAUGUUCCUGGAUAGAAGUGGGUACAUCGAGGAGGCCAGGUCAUAGCAGAGCCUCCACCAUCAUCAAGGAAGACCAGGAACUUUCCAGACAAGGUCAGUUUAAAGUUGGACAAAUGAAAGAACUGAGGAGAGUCAGGACAAUCUCAGCGAACGCCUUUGACACCAAGCGAGGAUGCGAUGGGCCUCCACUGUGAAACACUGACCC